rnacentral:rRNA from 1 species
GACGAACGCUGGCGGCGUGCUUAACACAUGCAAGUCGAACGGAAAGGCCCUGCUUUUGUGGGGUGCUCGAGUGGCGAACGGGUGAGUAACACGUGAGUAACCUGCCCUUGACUUUGGGAUAACUUCAGGAAACUGGGUCUAAUACCGGAUAGGAGCUCCUGCUGCAUGGUGGGGGUGGGAAAGUUUCGGCGGUUGGGGAUGGACUCGCGGCUUAUCAGCUUGUUGGUGGGGUAGUGGCUUACCAAGGCUUUGACGGGUAGCCGGCCUGAGAGGGUGACCGGCCACAUUGGGACUGAGAUACGGCCCAGACUCCUACGGGAGGCAGCAGUGGGGAAUAUUGCACAAUGGGCGGAAGCCUGAUGCAGCAACGCCGCGUGCGGGAUGACGGCCUUCGGGUUGUAAACCGCUUUCGCCUGUGACGAAGCGUGAGUGACGGUAAUGGGUAAAGAAGCACCGGCUAACUACGUG